UAUAACAGAAAUUUCGUUCAACCGGUCAUUAUUGAUAACAUAUAUGGAGUACCUCUGGCGAUCAACACUAAAUCGUACUUUGUGAGACCAUAGGAUCUCUUCAUCCAUCUUAUCGGUCUUGAGAAAGAUCUUGUCAACGGGAGGCACUUCUUUCCAUUCCAUGACCACGGGAUUGCCAACAUAGCUCUUCAAUCCACAGCGCAAAAGCACCAGCCCAUGCUCAAUAGCCAAAACUCUAUAAGGGCUUGGGAAAGGCUCAUCCAAGAAAAAGCCUGAGAGUGGACACCACGCCUCAACACAUCAUUGACAUAAGUGAGAAUCCAAACCCCUUGAUCCAUCACACCCCCAGCUUUGAAGUCUGGGGAUUGGAUUAUGUCCCUCCAUGACUUACACACACUGCUUGCACGGGCUAUGCUCCAAUUGUCCAGACGCGAAAAGAUCUCCCUCCAUAUCAGAUCCAUCCUAAACCACAU
rnacentral:lncRNA from 1 species